CACACCGACACCACCAGUGAGUCCAGAAAUGACAUCAUCAGAGACUCCACAAGUGGCUACAAUGGAUGGACAUUAUGUAUUUAUGCUAUUACUUGCUGUGACAGUGCUUCUAGCUGCCAUUGGGUUAUUCGCUUUAGGCUGGUAUUGCAAACGACAGCAAACAAACCCGGUGAUCUUGCUCUGCGUUAUGUGCUGUUGUUGCAGACGACGACAGACAAUGACAGCAAACCAAUGGACAUUGAAUGGUGACGUAGAAAGGCAAACUCAUGACCCCGGGGACGAUAUUGAAAUUCACAGGACCACGUUUCUUUCAGCAUCGUAUGUAAAGCUUAGUGAUAUCUUCCCAGCAAAAGAAAUCAAGAUGUACUUCCGACAGUUGAAAAUAGGUACAUUCUGUUACAGUGUCUGUUCAGUAAAGUAUUUUACUUUGUACUCAUUGUAUAAACGUAAUAUUUAUCAUGUCGUUGAAAUCAUGAAAAGAGUGAUUAAUUGUGUAUGUAGCGUUCAUUGAUAAAUCCACAGAGCAUUAACCAUAUAAACAAUUAA